rnacentral:rRNA from 1 species
UACAGAGGUGGCAAGCGUUGUUCGGAAUUACUGGGCGUAAAGGGCGCGUAGGCGGCCAUCUAAGUCAGACGUGAAAUCCCCCGGCUUAACCUGGGAACUGCGUCUGAUACUGGACGGCUCGAGUUUGGGAGAGGGAUGCAGAAUUCCAGGUGUAGCGGUGAAAUGCGUAGAUAUCUGGAGGAAUACCGGUGGCGAAGGCGGCAUCCUGGACCGACAUUGACGCUGAUGAGCGAAAGCUAGGGGAGCAAACGGG